UCUACAGGCUUAACACAUGCAAGUCGAGGGGCAUCAGGAAGAAAGCUUGCUUUCUUUGCUGGCGACCGGCGCACGGGUGAGUAACACGUAUCCAACCUGCCCUUUACUCGGGGAUAGCCUUUCGAAAGAAAGAUUAAUACCCGAUAGCAUAAUGAUUCCGCAUGGUUUCAUUAUUAAAGGAUUCCGGUAAAGGAUGGGGAUGCGUUCCAUUAGGUUGUUGGUGAGGUAACGGCCCACCAAGCCUUCGAUGGAUAGGGGUUCUGAGAGGAAGGUCCCCCACAUUGGAACUGAGACACGGUCCAAACUCCUACGGGAGGCAGCAGUGAGGAAUAUUGGUCAAUGGGCGCUAGCCUGAACCAGCCAAGUAGCGUGAAGGAUGAAGGCUCUAUGGGUCGUAAACUUCUUUUAUAUAAGAAUAAAGUGCAGUAUGUAUACUGUUUUGUAUGUAUUAUAUGAAUAAGGAUCGGCUAACUCCGUGCCAGCAGCCGCGGUAAUACGGAGGAUCCGAGCGUUAUCCGGAUUUAUUGGGUUUAAAGGGAGCGUAGGUGGACUGGUAAGUCAGUUGUGAAAGUUUGCGGCUCAACCGUAAAAUUGCAGUUGAUACUGUCAGUCUUGAGUACAGUAGAGGUGGGCGGAAUUCGUGGUGUAGCGGUGAAAUGCUUAGAUAUCACGAAGAACUCCGAUUGCGAAGGCAGCUCACUGGACUGCAACUGACACUGAUGCUCGAAAGUGUGGGUAUCAAACAGGAUUAGAUACCCUGGUAGUCCACACAGUAAACGAUGAAUACUCGCUGUUUGCGAUAUACAGUAAGCGGCCAAGCGAAAGCAUUAAGUAUUCCACCUGGGGAGUACGCCGGCAACGGUGAAACUCAAAGGAAUUGACGGGGGCCCGCACAAGCGGAGGAACAUGUGGUUUAAUUCGAUGAUACGCGAGGAACCUUACCCGGGCUUAAAUUGCAGUGGAAUGAUGUGGAAACAUGUCAGUGAGCAAUCACCGCUGUGAAGGUGCUGCAUGGUUGUCGUCAGCUCGUGCCGUGAGGUGUCGGCUUAAGUGCCAUAACGAGCGCAACCCUUAUCUUUAGUUACUAACAGGUUAUGCUGAGGACUCUAGAGAGACUGCCGUCGUAAGAUGUGAGGAAGGUGGGGAUGACGUCAAAUCAGCACGGCCCUUACGUCCGGGGCUACACACGUGUUACAAUGGGGGGUACAGAAGGCAGCUAGCGGGUGACCGUAUGCUAAUCCCAAAAUCCUCUCUCAGUUCGGAUCGAAGUCUGCAACCCGACUUCGUGAAGCUGGAUUCGCUAGUAAUCGCGCAUCAGCCACGGCGCGGUGAAUACGUUCCCGGGCCUUGUACACACCGCCCGUCAAGCCAUGGGAGCCGGGGGUACCUGAAGUACGUAACCGCAAGGAUCGUCCUAGGGUAAAACUGGUGACUGGGG
rnacentral:rRNA from 1 species